UUCUCUUGUGACUCUGUAUUAUCGUCCUUCUUGAGUUCCCUAAGACAUACGUUUGGCCUUCGUCGAGGAGAUGAGAAUAGCAUGGCUUACCUGGCUUCCAUGAGCCCUGUGUGGCUUUCGGUUCCUUCAUCUGGUGGCCUAUAGUACACCCAUUAUCCUGCACACUAGUUCCUCAAAUAGUUUGGCUUUGAUUAGAACAUUCCUUCAGUCUUCAAAGAGGUUUUCCCUCCUAAUCCUUCUUUAGAUCCAUUCUUGAGACUUCAUGCCUUUGCUUACUAGUCCCAAAAGAGUCCCUAGGUCACUGUACCAAGUUCUCAGAGGGUGACCUAUGGGUCCAGCAGUUUCUACAAUUAUUGGAGGAGGAUCUAGAAGUCUUUCAUGGAUUAUGUUUGGUUAGGGACAAUGAGGGAGGUUCCUCAUGCUGACCUCUUCUCAACUCCUUCAACCAACAAGCGCUUAUCCCUUCCUACUCUUGAGAUAGUUUCAAGUGCCUCAAGUGGUAGGGUUGGAUUCGUUGAAUGACAUCAAUCUAGAGGUAGUUGGAUAUCUUAUGCUAGUAAUUUUCCUCCUUAGCCUAAGUCUGCUAUGAUAGUUAGUUCAUUCCCAGGGGUUCCCAUUAAAAAAGGGAUAGCAGAGGAAAUUGGUUCAGUAGUUCCACGAGGCAAGGGAAAGGAGAAAAAAAAGGUAAGAAAGGUACUAUGCAGAAGGAUGAAGAUGAGAAGGACGCUGACAAGAUAGAGACUAGUCAAGGAACUAAGAAGAAGAAAGUUUCUGCUUCCUCAAAGCAACCCUUUAUUUCCUAGGGAUCUAGGGAGGUGGCACCUGUUGUUGUUGAGGCGGGAUCCCGGGGUAAGGAGGUCAUUCAUCCCCCUCCUCCCAAGAUCAAGAUCAAAACCAAGAUAGAGAUUCCUAAGCUCCAAACCCCUGUUGGUUCCCCGACGGGGACCAUCCCAGUAGCUGUUUCUUCGCUAGCCCAAGUCAAAAUGCAAAGUUGAUCCUCAAAGAAUGAAGGGUUCCUCUUCAACUGGUAAGGUGGUAUUAUUUUUUUCCAUAUUCCUUAAUUGUCUAGACCUUUUGUUAAAUUCUUUCGCUUCCUGCUUCAAGUGGAAAUUUCCCCUCCUCCUCUUAGGGAUGUGAUUCCAAAGGGAACAUCCAAAGAUCAACCUCCUACUGGUCCUAAUGUAGGUAAGUCUGAGCAAGUCCUUGGCCCUAUUGAUGGAGCAACUAAGAACCCACCAAAGCUGUGGAAGGAGGUGUGAUUCCUUCUAAGGGUACCGGCUUACUGUCUUUUUAUAAAUUCCUUCUAUCUUUGGCCAAGUUAGCCCCCAAGUUAUUCCCAAAAGUGAAAUUACAAAUUUGACCUUAAAGGUAGGAACUCCUUAAGGUGUACUAGCUUCUAGUGGCCCUUCCUCUACCUCUGGUCCUGGUAUGGUUAUUCUUGCUUUUCAACUUUGUCACUUUUCACGAACUCCACUUUUAAUGAUGGUUCAUUUGUAGAUUCUACCAAGGACCUAGGCGAGAAGAUGGAGGAGCUCCCGAAGAUAAUGGAAGCAGUGUCCUUAGUCUAGGGAUAGUCUUCCUCACAUGUGCUUAGUGAAAUUAGUACUUGCCCUCUCCCAUUUUCUUGCUUUCCCUUAGUCUUUAAUUCCUACCCUUUAUUACUGAUAACUCAAUGCAGGUCCUAACAAGGAUUCAAAAGCAACAGUAGAUGACCUAUUGAGAGCCAGGGAAUAUCAAGAAAUGCCUUCAGCCCAUGGAAGCCUACCUUUGGAUACUACUAGUGAGAUUGGUACUAAAGUGAGGGCCAAGGAGCCCAAGGCCACAGUUGUUGAAGAAGUCAGGGAACCUUCAGCAGUACCCGCUUAAGCUUCUAGAGUUCAAACCAAGGUCCCUCAAAGUGAUCCAGGAACUGCAGACCUUUCUCUCCCUCAAGAGAAUGACACAGUGAUGGAGGAGCCCAAAGACACUAUCGUUGUGGAUCCUAGUGCUGGGCUUCCAAAUUAUUUGACUCGUUUUGAUUUGUUGGAGUUUAACAACCUCCUUAUGAGUCACUUCUAUUGUUUUGAGACAUCCUUCCCCAACUUCAUUUGCUUCUCAAUAGCUGCUAAAGGUUUGCCACUCCUUGAGGAGCUGUUAAGGUUUCACAAGGACUUUAUUGCCAGUUCAAAGGUGGUGUUUUCUUGGGGAACAUCCUUUUAGAGUUACUUUGUGCUAUCCUGGUUUCCCUAAAGAAUGCUUCAAUUGAUUCCUUAUCAGAGGAGAAAA